AUAGUUUGAAGUUUCAACUUAAUAGUUGGUGGGUUCAGAUGAAACAGCAAACUAUUUGCCAAGAACCCAGAAGUAAGUUAAGAAAUUGUGGAAUGUAAAGAGAGAAUGAGAUGGCUCUUAAGCCCAUGGUUUGUGCCAGUUUGUGUACAGAAGGGGAAACCAUGGUUUGACAUUAUUUCUGAAUCAUACCAGACUGUAGCACAUGAAGGCUAUAGCGAAUGAGUGACAGCAGGGCAGUCUCUUUUCUUUUUUUGCUUAUGUUAUUCUAUUGUUCUGUAAAGGGCAACUCAUUUUUUAACUUCUGACUUUUAUUGGUAACUUUAGGAGGCAAUCCUAUGGCAAAAUCCAUUGGUAUGAGUAGCUUAGAAAGCGGUGGACCUCUGACUCAGUUGGCUGAUUCCUGAUUCAGUUGGGCUCAGCCAGCAUGAAGCCAUCAGUCCUGGCACCGUGUAAGUGGCUGAGCUGAGGCCAAUGUAAGUUUCAGGAAGGGGUGUUCUGCAGGCAUAGUACGGGCAUGACCAGAGAGGAGGGCCAUAGGCUGGAUCCCAAGACUAUUCAUCUAGGUCAUGUGACCUGGCAACCCAGCAUAGAACACUAUUUUCAAGGCUUGUUUUCCCUCCACCAGGCAUGAGCAGAGCGUGUGUCUUGUCUGUGGAGGUGUCUGUCUGUCUGUCUGGUUGAAAAUCCUUUUGGUUGCCUGGGCAAGAUAAAGUGGAAAACAAAUUUAAUUUAAAAAAGUGUAGAAAUAAAGUUCAAAGAGAAUUACAGUAUUGGAAUGUCCUCCCAUGAUAAUUUGCUUUGGAAUUUACACUUAAAUAACACAUGAACACAUUUUUUUACAAGGAGGCAGCAUAGAAGCAAAUCAUAACUGACAUAUGCUAUAUAUUCCAAGGAGUCCCCAAAGAAAAUUGAAGAGCAGAAUGCCAUCAUACAUUACCCAGUAUGUGUCAAAACACUGGUGUUUUCAGAGUUUGCUUUCAUGCACUGCUGCCUUUAUUUUGUAUUAUCUUCUGAUUCAACAUAUCCACUGAGCAUUUCAACUAAGAACAUGGCAGCUUUGUAUGGCAGUACAGAAAUCUGAACAACACCUUGCUUCAAAAAUUAGCUGGUAUUAGAUAAAAAGAUAUGUUCUCUACUGAACUUGAAAUGAGAUUGAAAACUACUAAGGCAAAAGGAAUAGACUUUUUUUUUAAGGACCUCACAAUGCUAGGUGUUAGAUUAUAAAUUAUUUUGAACAGUUUCUAACAAUCGCCUUGUUAUAAAUCUUAGUACCCUGCAUAUUGCAAAAGAAAGCAUUUUUUUUAAAAAAAUGUAAUGCUCAUUUGUGGGCAGAGUGACAUCAUUUUAUUUAUCAUAAAAUAAUGAAUCUUGUCUGCAGUUUAUGAGUGGGGAACAAAGACUUACAUUUUAAAAUGCUAGGUCCAAUCUUACUGCUAAGCACACCAUGAUAUACUGCUUAUGGCAGUACCUUGCAAAGGUGGCAUUGGAUGAUACUGUGGGUGCCAGAAUACCUUAUCAGAGCUUAAAGCUGUUUGAUAUUUUACUGGCAAUAUAAUAUUUUUGCCUAGAGUGAGGUGAAGUUGAGAGAACUUUCUUAAUCCAGUUGGUGUCCAUUUUGCAUGUCUUCACUGCUAAGUCUUGUUUUUGUGGCCAUUAGUCCUAACAUUCCCUUGGCUUCAUAUUUUGUUGCUGAGAUAAGAUGCCUGAGUCAUUCCUUCAGGAUCAUAAUUGGAUUAAGAGAACACAUUGUUUCCAGGAUUCUCCACAGGCAAUAUCGAAUGAAACAUGGAGAAAGGAAGAAGUCACACAGGUUGGGUUCAGAUGCACAAAAGUUCUCUAUGCAAAACAAUCCUAGUGGACAUAGAACCAGUUUGAUGUCAGCCCAAUUUUCAGUAGAUAGAUUGGACUACAAAGGUGUUUAUAAGCAAAUCCCAUGUACACCAUGUUGACUUCCAUGGCAGAAGAAAGGUAGGAUAUUAAUAUACUAAAUAAAUAAGUUAUUUUGAAAAAGACACCUGACUAGCAGGACCUAGACUGCCAAACUGAUAUUUCCACUGAAUGCCCUCAACUUUUCUUAACAGUCCAUUGUUUCAAAGGAAUGUCUUAUCUGAGGGAGGUCAAACAGGUAGCUUGUAGCACUGUUGGAGCAAGUAACACUUCAUUAAUUUAGAGUCAUUGCACAUAAAUCACAAGGAAUUCUAUUAUGCUGAUCUAAAGUACUUCAUUUUGGAUUUUAAGUUGGCUUGCCAUUCUCCCCCAUCCCUCACUCUGUGCUUUAAAAUAUGUCACUUGUUUCUGGUUCACUAAUGUUUCAAAAUGAGCAGAGACUUUGUGAACUGAGAUUUACAGUGCCUCAGUGUUCUACGUAAAAUUAUUAUUUUGUGUAAAGUAAGUGUUCUGAAGCAAAUGAAUGAAGAAGAAAAAAAAUACACUGAGAAAUCUUAUGUUCCACACCUCAAGUCUUAGAUAAUAAUUAAGUGCAUCUGUGUCACCCUCCCUUUAUUGUCCUCUAC